AGUGAACGCUGGCGGUAGGCCUAACACAUGCAAGUCGAACGGCAGCACAGUAAGAGCUUGCUCUUACGGGUGGCGAGUGGCGGACGGGUGAGGAAUACAUCGGAAUCUACUUUUUCGUGGGGGAUAACGUAGGGAAACUUACGCUAAUACCGCAUACGACCUACGGGUGAAAGCAGGGGAUCUUCGGACCUUGCGCGAUUGAAUGAGCCGAUGUCGGAUUAGCUAGUUGGCGGGGUAAAGGCCAACCAAGGCGACGAUCCGUAGCUGGUCUGAGAGGAGGAUCAGCCACACUGGAACUGAGACACGGUCCAGACGCCUACGGGAGGCAGCAGUGGGGAAUAGUGGACAAUGGGCGCAAGCCUGAUCCAGCCAUACCGCGUGGGUGAAGAAGGCCUUCGGGUUGUAAAGCCCUUUUGUUGGGAAAGAAAAGCAGCAGGUUAAUACCCCGCUGUUCUGACGGUACCCAAAGAAUAAGCACCGGCUAACUUCGUG
rnacentral:rRNA from 1 species